GACGAACGCUGGCGGCGUGCCUAAUACAUGCAAGUAGAACGCUGAAGGAGGAGCUUGCUUCUCCGGAUGAGUUGCGAACGGGUGAGUAACGCGUAGGUAACCUGCCUGGUAGCGGGGGAUAACUAUUGGAAACGAUAGCUAAUACCGCAUAAGAGUAGAUGUCGCAUGACAUUUGCUUAAAAGGUGCAACUGCACCACUACCAGAUGGACCUGCGUUGUAUUAGCUAGUUGGUGAGGUAACGGCUCACCAAGGCAACGAUACAUAGCCGACCUGAGAGGGUGAUCGGCCACACUGGGACUGAGACACGGCCCAGACUCCUACAGGAGGCAGCAGUAGGGAAUCUUCGGCAAUGGACGGAAGUCUGACCGAGCAACGCCGCGUGAGUGAAGAAGGUUUUCGGAUCGUAAAGCUCUGUUGUAAGAGAAGAACGAGUGUGAGAGUGGAAAGUUCACACUGUGACGGUAUCUUACCAGAAAGGGACGGCUAACUACGUG
rnacentral:rRNA from 1 species